GGUAAUCCAAUCCAUACCCGAAGUUCCUUUUCAGUUACCACCUAGAACUGUUAAAGCUGUGUUUGCUUCAUGCCUGUUCCACACUACCCAGUGCCCAAGUGUGGUGACUAUUAAGGGAUGUAAAACCAGACCAGCACAACUCCCCAAGGACUCCUCACCAUCCAGCACACCACUUUGCUCAUGUUGGAAGCACUGAUCUGCAAAAACAAAACCAUAGCCCUCUCUCACCCAGAGCAAAGACUACAGAUGUGCCCAGGACUGACAAAUGCCAACAGGCCCUGGGAGUAUCGCAGCCCAACUAGAAGAAGCAAAGGAAGAGGCAAGGUCUCUAGAAAACCUGGUCCUGUGGCCCGUGGGGAUUUUCUGAGCCUCAAAACAAACAAACAAACAAAAAAACCCUUUUUGCCACUACAAGUAUUCAGUUUUCAUCCUGAUUUUCUCAGCUGGAAAAUACCAUGGCCUUCUGCCACUCGUGACCUGACCCUCAGAAACCUUUACAGGCUGAAACCAAGACACACUUAGAGCAAGAAGCCUUUGGAAGCCAUGCUCCCGGCUCAGUCGCUGCUAUCAUCCCUGCUGCGUGUGCUACACAGGUGGUUCCUGUCCUCAGCUCCCUCAGACACCACAGGGAGAAAGCCUGAGCCAGUCAUCAGCAGAGCAACGGCCUUGUCUGUUCUUCUCCCUCCCAGAACCUACAGCAACUCUUCCUUUGUUCUCCCUCCAACAACCGUGUCGUCUGUCUCUUAAAAAAAAGAUCCAUUACUAGACACUCUGGAUGGCACCACAUCUUAGUUUCUGGGUGUCAAAACAUUUUUAAUCGUUCGGUGUCUGUUCCUGUCCCUGUCCUUUCACAGCAGCAGGCCACAGAUUAAUGUCAUGGAAGUGAAGUGUGAGAGGCAGUAGCCCUGCCUAAAUCCCAGUCUGCUUUAAACACGAGCUGAGACUUAGUCUCUCUCCGGGGCCUGAGCCUAACACUGCUCUCUGCUUAGUUACAACUUAGAGUCCAGUAAUCAAAACUCCAGCUACUGAAUGAAGAACAGAGACGAAGAAUCAGGAGAUGAAGUAACUACCCAUGGGACAGGGAAAGAGACGACAACGUUUUCCAAGAUGACAUAUUGGAUGGCCCAUAUGAGACCACACUAGACUGCGAUCUACUUCAGCUGCUAUCACAAAAUGCUGAAGACCGGGAAGGGAAUGGAAGCCAGAUUAUACAACAGUGAGAAACAUCCCAGAUGCCAUAACUAUGUUCCUGUCCAAAGGGCAUGAAUUCAAACAUCAACAAUGAAGAAAUCCAAAAUAUGGUUAACCCUUGACUUCGUGGUGUUCCUAAACAACUGUGAUUUAGGGAUGGUGUUAGCAGGAUGAGAGAAAGCUUUCCUUCGUAGCUUAAAAAAGCCAAAGUGACGGUGAGAACGGCUGCUUGCUACACCACAGCACUGUUGGUAAUAGGUAAAUGCAACUGUCUGAGAAAGAUUUGAAAGCUCCUGGGUAAAGAGGUCCAGCUCUGUCUUGCUGAGUGCUGAGCUCUGCAGAUGGUCAGUCCACCUUGGGAAUAAGUGUGGUUUGCAAAUUGACUUGGCUGACCUGGCUGACCGGGCUCAGGAAAGCCUGAAUGGAGAGACUAUAUGAAAACCAUCACCUUGACUAUUUUGACUUUGAAUGUCUUAGAAUAUGCCCCUUCUUGGUCCGUCUCCACUCAAGACCUAUGGCUCACACCUGCCUGUGCUUUGGUACGUCUUGGUAUUUAGGAAGCGGUCCAGGAGUCACUGAGAAGUAAAAGGAUGAAGGUGGAAAAAAGAAAUUAUGUUCAGAGCAGAGUGGAAUGGAGUUGGAGACAGCUCUUCCCUCCCUGGAAGACCUGUCAGAUUCUCUUUUGUGGCCUUGCCACCCUGUCAGCGCUGACCAGACGGCCGGGCAGACACUGUCGUAUCCCACCCUUGACUUAUAAAG